rnacentral:rRNA from 1 species
UACGUAGGGUGCGAGCGUUGUCCGGAAUCACUGGGCGUAAAGGGCGCGUAGGUGGCGGCCCAAGUCCAUGGUGAAAGCUCGAUGCUCAACAUCGAGUCGGCCACGGAUACUGGGUUGCUGGAGCACUGUAGAGGCAGAUGGAAUUCCGGGUGUAGCGGUGGAAUGCGUAGAGAUCCGGAAGAACACCGGUGGCGAAGGCGGUCUGCUGG